rnacentral:snoRNA from 1 species
AAGACUAUAUUUUUAAGGAUCAUUUCUAUAGUUCGUUACCAGAGAAGUUUCUCUGAUCAAGUAGAGAACCUGAACCGUGGGGAGGAGUCAGAACCUACUCUCCUGAGCAUAAAGUCGGUUCUAGGUGUUGCCUCUGCAGCUGUUUUUUUGCUGUUGAUGAUCCUUCUUCCCUUCCCUUGGAAGAGGGAGAGGGAGAGGAUGCAGUCAAACACG